rnacentral:rRNA from 1 species
CAGCCGCCACGGUAAUACGUAGGGUGCAAGCGUUAAUCGGAAUUACUGGGCGUAAAGCGUGCGCAGGCGGUUUGUUAAGACAGAUGUGAAAUCCCCGGGCUUAACCUGGGAACUGCAUUUGUGACUGGCAAGCUAGAGUAUGGCAGAGGGGGGUGGAAUUCCGCGUGUAGCAGUGAAAUGCGUAGAUAUGCGGAGGAACACCGAUGGCGAAGGCAGCCCCCUGGGCCAAUACUGACGCUCAUGCACGAAAGCGUGGGGAGCAAACAGGAUUAGAUACCCGAGUAGUCCCUGUCUCUUAUAA